ACGACUGCUAAUACCCAAUGUGCCGAAAGGUGAAAGAUUUAUCGUCUGAAGACGGGCUCGCGUCUGAUUAGCUAGAUGGUGGGGUAAGAGCCUACCAUGGCAACGAUCAGUAGCUGGUCUGAGAGGAUGAGCAGCCACACUGGGACUGAGACACGGCCCAGACUCCUACGGGAGGCAGCAGUGGGGAAUUUUCCGCAAUGGGCGAAAGCCUGACGGAGCAAUACCGCGUGAGGGAGGAAGGUCCUUGGAUUGUAAACCUCUUUUAUCAGGGAAGAAGUGCUGACUGUACCUGAUGAAUAAGCAUCGGCUAACUCCGUGCCAGCAGCCGCGGUAAUACGGAGGAUGCAAGCGUUAUCCGGAAUUAUUGGGCGUAAAGCGUCCGUAGGUGGUUAUGCAAGUCUGCCGUUAAAGAAUGGAGCUUAACUCCAUAGGAGCGGUGGAAACUGCAAGACUAGAGUACAGUAGGGGUAGCAGGAACUCCCAGUGUAGCGGUGAAAUGCGUAGAUAUUGGGAAGAAC
rnacentral:rRNA from 1 species